rnacentral:misc_RNA from 1 species
UUAACCCAAACCAACGUGCCAAAUGCUCAUCUAAGCUCGAAUGCGCGUUUUGCACUUUGUUCACAGCAUUUCUGAAGAAACCAGAAACGGACCCAUCUGACAAAUGCCAAGUAGAAACAGAUUUAUCUAUUUGCUGAGGAGGCGGUUGGACAGGAGGCGGAGAAACCACUUUUUUAGGGGAAUCAAAGACAGGGGGCUCCGCCGGUUUAGGGGUGGAGGGAG